rnacentral:lncRNA from 1 species
UCAACUCUGUUACUUGUUGUGUUUCCUAAGUGCAUCACCUUAUCUAUCCAUGCCUUGACAAAUUUUUCUUUAUGUGGACGUAACCAUGUAUCCAUCACAUAAUCAACAAAUAUAGGCCAUGGAGAACAGACAACUCGAAGAGCAUUGACACGAUCUUCAAAGGCCUCAACAAUAUCACAAUCCACAACAGAUCCCCACACUUCCAUUACUUGAUCCCAUGCCUCUCUUGGAUGCACCAACAUUUUACAUUUUGCUUUCACAUUUUUAUCAAUGUGAAACCGACAUAGCAAAUUAUAAGCUUCAGGAAACACCAUUCUAAUUGCAUUCAUUAAGGCAACAUCUCUAUCACAUACCACCACCCUAGGGCAUGAAUCAACUCUUAAAAACAACCCUUUAAGUCUGUCAAGGGCCCAAAAAAAAUUAUUUUCCUUUUCUGCUGCUAGUAAACAAAAUGCAAC